GACAGCCCCCUGCUUGGGGACAGGUGCUCCAGCCGCACGCGCGCUCUGCAGGAAGGCUGCGUCACCGCGGGUAGCGUGUCCCGGACAACCUGGGGAGACUCCGGGUUUGAGGUGCGGGCCAGCGCGGGGCGGGGGUGCGGGGGUGGAGUCAGACCCUGGGGGUGUGGCCGGAAGGGCCCUGGAGAGCAUGCACGUGGGGAAUCUUCCCCUGGAGUCAGGAAGGGACAGAUGACCCCGAAACCCAGGAACCACUCCACGGAGCAGCCGUCAGCGGGCAGCGAGCACAGCUCCUGAGUGGAGUCCAAUUCCCGUUUUAAACCCAAGGUCGCCGGCCGUCGACCUCGGUGCAGUGACUUUGUAUCUUUUUCGUUUGUCUCUGAAAUGGGGACGGCCCAGGUCAGCGCGGUUUUGAACCCACUGGGUCGCGGUGCUUACCCUGCGCUGUAUGGUCCCUGCAACCCCCAUUUUGGGUAUUGGAACUGGCACUGGGAGGAAGGCCGUGACUUAAGACACUCCAGCCCCGCUCCUGUCUAUCCCACCAGCCUCCCCGCCAGGCCCUCCUUGGGGUCACACGGACCCCAAGACGAAUCUCUGCACACAGACCAUGGUCAGCCAGAUGCCUGCUGGUCAUAGAGAAAAGUCAGUGCAAGCGUUCCCCUGGCUGCUUGAGCUUGUUGGGGGGUGGUCUCAGAAAGGCCCCCGGGACUGAGUCUGGAUUGGUCUCCCUGCCGGGAAAGAGAUGGGACAUGAGUUUCAGACAGAGAGCAAACAGCUCCCCACAACCAAGGGAGAUGUGACAUGUACUUAGCAUCCUUACAACUGCCCUGAGCUGACGAGACGGUGAGUAAAAGGCGCAGAAAAGAGACCUGUGACCUGUGACCUGCUCCAGCGGUCACCCAGCCUCUCUGAAGCCGGCUCUCUCCCCCCAGAUCCCGGCGCCUAUCGGAGAGAGACUCGCCCAAGGUGAAAAUCGCUGGUCAAGGGGAAGAGAAGAGAGAGGCGCUCGUCGGGUAAGCCGGGUGAAGGCUAGCGGAGCUGUGAAAUUCGACCCCAGGCUUCCUGGAAGC